UACGUAGGGUGCGAGCGUUAAUCGGAAUUACUGGGCGUAAAGCGUGCGCAGGCGGUCUGUUAAGACCGAUGUGAAAUCCCCGGGCUUAACCUGGGAACUGCAUUGGUGACUGGCAGGCUUUGAGUGUGGCAGAGGGAGGUAGAAUUCCACGUGUAGCAGUGAAAUGCGUAGAGAUGUGGAGGAAUACCGAUGGCGGAGGCAGCCUCCUGGGCCAACACUGACGCUCAUGCAUGAAAGCGUGGGGAGCAAACAGG
rnacentral:rRNA from 1 species